UUUUUUUUUUUUUUUUUUAAGGCGGGGCGGGGCUGGGGGCGCGGCGUCGCGGAGCUCGGGCCGGUGGAAGGUUUACCUGCUAGGCUCGUCCCACCUGUGUGGAGCUCCCAUCGCCCUCCAGCGUUGCGCAGCCUGAAGGGACAGGACGGACAAGCGGGUGCCUCCUUCUAAUUCAUCUUCACCAUUGUGGUUGUCAAUAUGGCAUGCAGAAUUAUCCCUCUUUCCAGGUGAGGACGCGGAGACAUGGAGACACAUGUAGCCCAGACACAUAACAACACAGUAGGCAGGCCCAGUCUUGGAGCACAGAUUCUUCCUCCCCCUCCCCACACCUUAGCUAGCUUCUUUGCUCUCCCUGAGUGCCUAUGGCUUACAAGUUAUCCAUUUACAACAAAAGGUUGUUUAUUCAGAAUGUAGGGACUGGGAAUACAGAAGCCAAAAAAAAAAAAAUGAAGUGAGAAAUGAAAUCCCUUCUGUUUUGUUGUUUGGAAACUGCCUGGGAAGUGGCCUGCCAGCUAGGAACAGGGUUGGCUGGUGAAGAAGCCCCUGGCAUGACAUUUUUCUGCUUAGCAGAUGCCUGUGUGCCACCCUCGCCCUUGCUCUGAGCCUGGCAGUCAAGGGAAACGUGUCUGUACUCACUGUGCUAUUGUCUAAAAGGCUCAGCAGAAAGGCCCCAGCUAGCUUCCUUCUUCCCUUCGCAGCAGGAGAAGACCUAGGCAUGCCCACCUCCUACCCUAACAGACAGCACCUAAGAGAUGGUUCUUUUGAUAACUUAAAGGAGAUAUUUUUGAACGUCAACACAAGACAGUAUCGCCCAGCAAGGGAGAGGUUUUCGACUCCACCCAUCCCCAGAGACUCACUUGGUCUCAGAGAGAGAGUACUGUCUCCUUUCCUUAAAUCCCCCUAGCUUAAAAAGCCUAGCCAGAACCCUGCCUAUAAUCUUUCGCCGUAAAGUUUAUCUUCUAACUUUUCUUUAAAACCUAUGGAAAAUAAAAAUCGGGAUUGGAGCAAAGCA
rnacentral:lncRNA from 1 species